rnacentral:ncRNA from 2 species
GCCCAUUCGAACGGAUCAGACAGUCCAUAAGAAGCGGGUUCGGCUUAAAACGGGAAGUUCGGUGAAAGACCGACGCGGACCCGCCACUGUAAGGAGCCCCCUGCAAUCGCAGGGGAAAAUUUUUUUCGGCAUGAACGUCACUGGAUUUUCCGGGAAGGCGCCGAAGAAAGCUCCGAGCCAGGAGACCUGCCUGUUUAAAUAACACUAG